GACGAACGCCGGCGGCGUGCUUAACACAUGCAAGUCGAGCGGCAAGGCCCUUUCGGGGGUACACGAGCGGCGAACGGGUGAGUAACACGUGGGUGACCUGCCCUCAGCUCUGGGAUAAGCCUGGGAAACCGGGUCUAAUACUGGAUAUGACUCCAUGACGCAUGUUGUGGGGUGGAAAGCCUUGUGCGGCUGAGGAUGGGCCCGCGGCCUAUCAGCUUGUUGGUGGGGUGANGGCCUACCAAGGCGACGACGGGUAGCCGGCCUGAGAGGGCGACCGGCCACACUGGGACUGAGACACGGCCCAGACUCCUACGGGAGGCAGCAGUGGGGAAUCUUGCGCAAUGGGCGAAAGCCUGACGCAGCGACGCCGCGUGAGGGAUGACGGCCUCGGUU
rnacentral:rRNA from 1 species